ensembl:miRNA
UGGGAGGACUGCUUGAGCCUGGGAGGUGGAGGUUGCAGUGAGCUGAGAUCACGCCACUGCACUGCAGCCUGGGUGACAGAGUGAGACCCUAUCUC